GGAUGUUCAUACAUGCCUGGUUCCAAACCCGAAGGUUUUUAAUCUUACUCAACAAUAAUAUGUAAUUCAACAUAUAUAUAUACGGGUAAUUGACAAAGGUAUAUCAACAUGUGAAUAAAUGCCAUGAUUAUCCAAGUGGGGACACUUGUAUAACCAUUUAGAAAUCAACUUAACAGAAUAUAUAUCUGAGCUAACAUGUUGAUAAUCAAAGCGUACAUAAUCUGUACAGGAAUAAAAUAAUUCUGAAACUUCUUACUCGUGUCCAUUGCAUAAAGAAAAUGCAAAGGUAGG
rnacentral:lncRNA from 1 species